rnacentral:rRNA from 1 species
UAAAUCUGGGGAGUUGGUUUAAUUUUCUUGUUUAUGCUUAAGGAUGAAGCCAUGUGAUGUAGGGUUGGGGACCAGGAUUAGAUACCCUGUUACGCUACGUGUUAAGAAUAGUAGAUACAUUUAAAUAUUUGCCAGGCGACUACGCCUUCAAGGGUAAAAGUCGAAGUACCUGGCGGUUCAGGGUAUCCAGCCCGCGAGACUUGACGGUUAAUCCGAUGAUCCGCGUUUAAUCGUACCUACUUUUGAAUUAUUUGUUUAACAGCUGGUGUAUGGUCGUCGUUAGUUUAUAUCGUGAGAUUUAGUUGAAGUAGGCGAAAAAUAAGUCUUUCGAAAUGGAGGGGUUUAGUUGAAGUCAGAUCGUUAUGCCGUUUAUGAGUGGAGGGCUUAGUUGAGUCACAUUGAUUAGCAUUAGACGGAAGCUUUUAGUGAAUGUUUGAGUGGAAGAAGGAGUGGGUAGUAAUGUUAAAGUAGGUUGUUUGCAUGAAUAGUGAACUUUUGGGCGUACAAAUCGCCCGUCGCCCCCGGGGAGACUUGGGGU